CAAAAGGCCCUUUUAAGGGCCACUCAAAUGUUUCUUAGAAAGAGCU
rnacentral:ncRNA from 1 species